rnacentral:rRNA from 1 species
ACUCAAAGGAAUAGACGGGGGCCCGCACAAGCAGCGGAGCAUGUGGUUUAAUUCGACGCAACGCGAAGAACCUUACCUGGGCUUGACAUGUGCCUGACCGGCGUGGAAACACGUCUUCCCUUCGGGGCAGGUUCACAGGUGGUGCAUGGCUGUCGUCAGCUCGUGUCGUGAGAUGUUGGGUUAAGUCCCGCAACGAGCGCAACCCCCGUCGUAUGUUGCCAGCAUUAAGUUGGGGACUCAUACGAGACUGCCGGUGACAAACCGGAGGAAGGUGGGGAUGACGUCAAGUCAUCAUGCCCCGUAUGUCCAGGGCUACACACGUGCUACAUUGGCGCGUACAGAGGGCUGCGAUACCGCGAGGUGGAGCGAAUCCCUUAAAGCGCGUCUCGGUUCGGAUUGUAGGCUGAAACCCGCCUACAUGAAGGUGGAGUUGCUAGUAAUCGUGGAUCAGCAUUGCCACGGUGAAUACGUUCCCGGGCCUUGCACACACCGCCCGU